rnacentral:rRNA from 1 species
GUAGCUAAUACCGCAUAACGUCGCAAGACCAAAGAGGGGGACCUUCGGGCCUCUUGCCAUCGGAUGUGCCCAGAUGGGAUUAGCUUGUUGGUGGGGUAACGGCUCACCAAGGCGACGAUCCCUAGCUGGUCUGAGAGGAUGACCAGCCACACUGGAACUGAGACACGGUCCAGACUCCUACGGGAGGCAGCAGUGGGGAAUAUUGCACAAUGGGCGCAAGCCUGAUGCAGCCAUGCCGCGUGUAUGAAGAAGGCCUUCGGGUUGUAAAGUACUUUCAGCGGGGAGGAAGGGAGUAAAGUUAAUACCUUUGCUCAUUGACGUUACCCGCAGAAGAAGCACCGGCUAACUCCGUGCCAGCAGCCGCGGUAAUACGGAGGGUGCAAGCGUUAAUCGGAAUUACUGGGCGUAAAGCGCACGCAGGCGGUUUGUUAAGUCAGAUGUGAAAUCCCCCGG